AGGACGAACGCUGGCGGCGUGCCUAACACAUGCAAGUCGAACGGGACUGGGGGCAACUCCAGUUCAGUGGCAGAUGGGUGCGUAACACGUGAGGAACUUGUCCGACGGCGGGGGAUAGCCGGCCCAACGGCCGGGUAAUACCGCGUACGCUCAUUUGGGGACAUCCCGUGGGGUGAGGAAAGCAGCCGCAAGGUUGCGCCGAUGGAGAGCCUCGCGGCGUAUCAGCUAGUUGGCGGGUAAUGGCCCACAAGGCUACGACGCGUAGC
rnacentral:rRNA from 1 species